AUUGAACGCUGGCGGCAGGCCUAACACAUGCAAGUCGAGCGGAGCGGCGGACGGGUGAGUGAUGCCUAGGACUCUGCCUGGUAGUGGGGGAUAACGUACGGUACGGGGCGCUAAUACCACAUACUAUCAGAUGAGCCUAGGUCGGAUUAGCUAGUUGGUGGGGUAAAGGCCUACCAAGGCGACGAUCCGUAACUGGUCUGAGAGGAUGAUGAGUCACACUGGAACUGAGACACGGUCCAGACUCCUACGGGAGGCAGCAGGGGGGAAUAUUGGACAAUGGGCGAAAGCCUGAUCCAGCCAUGCCGCGUGUGUGAAGAAGGUCUUCGGAUUGUAAAGCACUUUAAGUUGGGAGGCGUUACCAACAGAAGAAGCACCGGCUAACUCCGUGCCAGCAGCCGCGGUAAUAC
rnacentral:rRNA from 1 species